GGUGUCUUCUCUAUUUGAAACUGCAUAUGGUCCAUCUCAAGGUGUUAUUGCAUAUAGUACUGUAUGUAUCAGACCUCUAUGGAUCCAAUAGCCCUGUCUAAUUCUGUCACAGCAGAAUUGGUCUGUUCAUCCUACAGUGGAAAUAUGCAAGUAAAGUUUAUCUGGCAAUAAAACAACAGAGGAUGUAAAAGCGCUCUGAUGGACUGGCGACCUGCCCAGGGCGUACCCCGCCUCUCGCCCACAGCCAGCUGGGAUAGGCUCCAGCUCCCUGCGACCCCACGCACGGGAUAAAGCGGAAUAGAAGAUGGAUGGGAUGGAUGAAAGAUGUAAAUGCAACUAAAGAUGUUGUAGAGGUUUAAAAACUGGUGCAGGGCCAUUUGAAGCAGUAUCAUCACGAGGAAACCAACCUACAUCUCAGCUCUUACCUGCUCAUCACGAUGAAGAUGAUCCUUCCUCUGACUCUCAUUUUGACGCUCUUUAGCACAGCUGGAGCUCUUAUGUGUGAAACCUGCACAAACACCCAGUGUUCAAGCACAGCACCAGUGACCUGUACCUCAGAGACCAUGUGUGUAACAGCUUCCAUCCAAGCCACUUCAUCUGGAACUACAGUGUCACAGAUCUUCAAGGCCUGUGCGUCGUCCUCCUUGUGUCCAGCUGCAGGAACUCAGACAUUUUCAGGUGAUCUGGGAGCUUCCAGUGCCGUCGCCUCUGCUCAGUGCUGCAACACUGACAACUGUAACUCAGCAACUCUGCCUUUCCCUGCUGCUCAGGGUAACAACGGCCUUCAGUGCUUCAGCUGUGACCCCACCACCUCCAUCUCCAACUGCACCACACCACUACAAUGCCGUGGAGUGGAGGACAGCUGCCUUCAAACAACAUGUGAGUCUAAAACCUAAUUGUUUUAGACUGAUUCCUACCAGCCUUUGAGGGGUUAAUGAGCUAGCUAGCUGUGUAGCUUACAGUACAUCGUACAGACAAACAAAGUGGACGAAGUUAGUAAGUGUCUGAAAAAAUUACAUUUACAUGCUACAAAAAGAUUUUUUUCCUCUAAUUACACACAAGACGUGGUUUUGGUUCUUAAGAAUCGCCUCCAUUAUACUUCCC
rnacentral:lncRNA from 1 species